rnacentral:rRNA from 1 species
GACGAACGCUGGCGGCGUGCCUAAUACAUGCAGGUAGAACGCUGAAGGAGGAGCUUGCUCUUCUGGAUGAGUUGCGAACGGGUGAGUAACGCGUAGGUAACCUGCCUGGUAGCGGGGGAUAACUAUUGGAAACGAUAGCUAAUACCGCAUAACAGUAGAUGUUGCAUGACAUUUACUUAAAAGGUGCAAUUGCAUCACUACCAGAUGGACCUGCGUUGUAUUAGCUAGUUGGUGGGGUAACGGCUCACCAAGGCGACGAUACAUAGCCGACCUGAGAAGGUGAUCGGCCACACUGGGACUGAGACACGGCCCAGACUCCUACGGGAGGCAGCAGUAGGGAAUCUUCGGCAAUGGACGGAAGUCUGACCGAGCAACGCCGCGUGAGUGAAGAAGGUUUUCGGAUCGUAAAGCUCUGUUGUAAGGGAAGAACGAGUGUGAGAGUGGAAAGUUCACACUGUGACGGUAUCUUACCAGAAAGGGACGGCUAACUACGUG